UCCGAAGGGGGCAAGCGUUGUUCGGAAUCAUUGGGCGUAAAGGGCGCGUAGGCGGGCUUGUAAGUCGGUUGUGAAAUCCCUAGGCUCAACCUGGGAAUUGCAUUCGAAACUGCAAGUCUUGAGUUCUUGAGAGGAUGGUGGAAUUCCUGGAGUAGUAGUGAAAUACGUAGAUAUCAGGAGGAACACCGGAGGCGAAGGCGGGCAUCUGGCGAGACACUGACGCUAAGGCGCGAAAGCGUGGGUAGCAAACAGG
rnacentral:rRNA from 1 species